UGCCAGCAGCCGCGGUAAUACGGAGGGUGCGAGCGUUAAUCGGAAUUACUGGGCGUAAAGCGUGCGUAGGCGGUUGAUUAAGUCAGAUGUGAAAUCCCGGAGCUCAACUCCGGAACUGCAUUUGAAACUGUUCAACUAGAGUAUUGUAGAGGGUGGUGGAAUUUCCAGUGUAGAGGUGAAAUGCGUAGAGAUUGGAAGGAACAUCAGUGGCGAAGGCGGCCACCUGGACAAAUACUGACGCUGAGGCACGAAAGCGUGGGGAGCAAACAGGAUUAGAUA
rnacentral:rRNA from 1 species